UACGUAGGGGGCAAGCGUUGUCCGGAAUCAUUGGGCGUAAAGAGCGUGUAGGCGGCUUGGUAAGUCCGCUGUGAAAGUCCAGGGCUCAACCCUGGAAUGCCGGUGGAAACUGUCAAGCUCGAGUCCGGAAGAGGCGAGUGGAAUUCCUGGUGUAGCGGUGAAAUGCGCAGAUAUCAAGGAGGAACACCAAUGGCGAAGGCAGCUCGCUGGGACGGUACUGACGCUGAGACGCGAAAGCGUGGGGAGCAAACAGG
rnacentral:rRNA from 1 species